ACAAAGGCUCUUUUCAGAGCCACCUACUUUUUUCGGUAAAAAGUG
rfam:Cricetulus griseus cell line CHO-K1, whole genome shotgun sequence.